AUGUGCAAGUCCAGCUCAGACGCUCUCCCAACCACCACCACCACCGUUCCUUCUUCCUCUCGCCGCCGCCGCCGAUCCCCUUCCACCGCCACCGCAUCCUCCUCCUCCACCUCCUCGGGACCCCGCCACACCGCCACCUCAACAACAACAACAAACACCGCCUCCACCUCCUCCUCCAGGUCGAGGUCCAGCCGCUCCAGCCUCGCCGCGGCGCGCGCCUCCCUGCCGGACCAGCCCGUCCUCUACACCUUCCAGGAGCUCGCCGCGGCCACCAACAACUUCCUCGCCAAGCGAGGCUCCUCCGACACCUUCUGGCGCUGCUCCCUCCGCUCCAGCCCCGCCGCGCUCUUCCAGCUCCGCCCGCUCCCGCUCCUCACGCCCGCUGCCGCCUCCGCCGCGCUCGCCCGCGUCGCGCGCUACCACCACGCCAGCCUCGCGCGCCUCCUCGGCGCCUGCCCCGCCGGCGCCCACGUCUACCUCGCCUACGCCCUCCCCACCGGCGCCUGCACCCUCGCCGCAUACCUCUCCUCCUCCUCCACCUCCUCGUCCUCCCGCGCCGGCAGCAGCACCAGUAGAAGCGUGGUCCUCCGCACGUGGCUGUCGCGCGUGCAGGUGGCCGUGGACGUGGCGCAGGGCAUCGAGUACGCGCACGCACACGCCGACGCCGCGCACGGCCGCGUCUCGCCGUCGGCCGUGCUCCUCGUCCCCGACGCCCACGGCGGCCAGAGCGUGCGCGCCGUGCUCACCCACUUCGGGGCGGGCCACUUCGCCGCCCCAGACGACGACGCCGACGCCGAAGCCGACAACCAGGAGCAGCCGUCCAAGGGAAAGGCGGCGGACGUGCGCGCGUUCGGGGUGCUGCUGCUGGGGCUGCUGUCGGGGGAGGCGGCGGAGAGCCGUUACCGGUUCGACCGCGCCACCAAGGAGUUGGCGCGCGUGUCGGUGGUGGACACGGCGGCGGAGGCGGUCCGGAGCGGGCGGGUGCGGAGCUGGGUGGACCGGCAGCUGAGCGACUCGUUCCCCGUGGCGGCCGCGGAGAGGCUAGUGGAGGUGGGGCUGCGGUGCGCCGCCGAUGCCGAUGCCGAGGAGGGAAAGGAGCGGCCGGAGAUGGCGUGGGUGGCGGGCAAGGUGUCGCGGUUGUACGUGGAGUCCCGGGCGUGGGAGCGCACCCUGCAGCCGCCCUCCGACGACCUUUCCUCCGUCGCCCUCGCGCCGCGAUAG
rnacentral:rRNA from 1 species